CUAAACUUUAAGUGGUGCCAUAUAGGCGCCACACACAGCUCAUAAGGUUGACAUAAUUCCCAGCGUUUCAGCAACUCUUGAUGAAAAUUGGUUGACUUCUUACACUUUCUCUCUUUACGCAACUAUGUAUCACGAAUCUGCCCAUAUCCCUAUUGAGCUUGAUUUUGUUUGUGAAUAUCCAUUCGGUAAAAGCUAUACAAUUUUAGUUUCUGUAUUUCUUGUGAUUCUGAUCAGGAUCCGUGUGUUUGGAAUCCAUCGAUAAGAAAUAUUCCCUCUUUAGGAAUUGAUGUACGCGAUGGAAUCGCCUCUAUUGAAACCUUACUGGCUGCUUGCCUCAAGCACAAAGAUAAUACAUGCUCUUCUCCUUUGUAAUCUGUAGGCAAAUACACCAAACAAUUUUUACUAGUAUUUAAUACAUUACACCAUCCUUCCAUAAGUGAUUUCUUCUUUGAUCCCAAAAAUCAUCAGAAACAAGUACUACACUUUUUUAGGAAUAUCAUAACAUCCACCGAGUAUGAAAAGAUUGUAUAAUAGCAAUCUGGUGGUUGACAACACAAUAGAAGAAGGAAGUAGAAUCCAAUUCAAUUCUGGAGAACAAGAUGUGUACCAUCUCUAGUGACUGAUAAAUAUUGCUAGUCAAACUAUCAAAAACCAAUGACGACUCGUAAGCUCUUAGUUGGGAUUUUUCUUCCAACAAGAGUUGGGUCUAGGAAAUUCACCUCUAGGAGCUUUAAAAGAAGCUGGUUUUUCUUGUGUAAUCUUCUCUGAAACAAAAAGUGUGGGAAAAAAAUAUUUUCCUUGACUGCAAUUUUCUGAAGAUAUACAUUUUCUAACUACUUACUUGACAUCCACAAGGAACUUAAUGGUUUUGAUACUUGACAUCCCCAUAGUGUCUACUACUGCAUUGAAUACUAGUGUUUAACUGUUUGAAUUGAACGAGUGAAUAGCUACUGUUGGUUGAAAGAUUGAUCAGAUUUGUUUAUGAAAUAUUAAGUUGCUGCUAUCAGCUCUAAACUGACUUGGAACGCCAUCAUCUUUGCGAGCUUGUAAUCCCCUGAAGGUUGUCGAUUAAGCAUACCCAGUUAUUUGGUUUGAAAUCUGAUAGUUGUUGUAAGUCACUGUUUGAAAAUUGCUACUGCUGGUUUAAUACAUGAAUUGUAUGAAUUGUUUGAAGUUGCUGCUGAUUAAUAUAGGCUGCAUACCAAGAAGGUGACCCUCUAACGAACCAUUUGGCAUGAAUUCGUACACUAAUAUUCUCUGAUCACCAUCUGAACAAUAUCCUAUUAAAUUGACAAGGUUGGAAUGAUGGAGAAGACUCAACAACAGGACCUCCACAAGGAACUCUUUAGUUCCUUGGAAACCAUUCCUGUCAAGUUGCUUCACAGCAACAUCCUAAGCAACACGAAAACAAUACAACAAUGGUUAAUCGGUUUUCCCAUAUUUUUGUUUUAGAGUUGAAGAAAUCAACAUCAAUUUUUGAACAAAUUAAAGAAAUAUGGGGAGAGUACCAUAUUCUUGCUUUUAAUAUGGCCUUUGUACACUUUACCAAAACCAUCAGAACCAAGCAAACACUUACCGUCGAAGUUUUGAGUUGCAAGACACAACUCGCGGAAUGUGAAGGCCUGAGCUGCAAUAUUCCCCUUUCCAAAUUUUUCUAUUUCUGAAGCUAUGUAUCUCCUUCUACUAUUAUCUGAAUAUUUACCACAAUUACAAAACAGACAAUCACUCAUGAUUUGAUUGAACUAACAUUAAUACUUAGUUUUCAUUAGUCAUUCCAAAAGUUUCAGCCAAAAAAACAAUGAACAUCCAAUUGCAGGAAAACGCAAUUGGAUAAAAGACUCAUUAUAACAAAGUAUCCUACACUGUAAACCUGUGAACAUGGUUGAUGAAAAUUCUGAUAAAUCACUUGCUGCUUACUUUGGAAGAGUGCCUCAUAGGCCUCCAAAUUUAUGGUUGUACGUAUUCAAUACUUCUCUGUUUCUAUUCUUCAUUUAGUUUUUGCACCACUAAUGCUCUACAGUCAUGACUUUUAUUCUAAUCCUAUUACUGUUAUCUUCCAGUUUGUUAUUCCUAUUUUCAUCAAUUGAGGUAUUCUUUCUGAUUAAUUGAACAUGGUUGCUGAUUAAUUGUUUCAGUUACUUCAGUUGUGCUAUUCAUACAAUUGAAAAUUCUGCACUUUGUGAGUUGCUGUCCAGUGGUUGACUCGUUUAUUUGCAGAAAAUGUCCAAAACCAAUACAGAGAAUCGAAAUAGGUUGAAGUGUCCGCACACUGCUGGCAGAAUACCUUUUGCUCUAAUUCGCAAGGCUGAAAUGGAGAUAAUACAAUCAACUCAGGAAAGUGAAGAUGACACUCAUUCAGUUGACGUUUUUGCAUCAAUCAUGGGACCUGAACAUCCAGGUCGCGUGAGAUUGUAUGGACGAGGGGUUACCAAGACUUUAUUAAAAGAGGCAAAAGGGAAUCUUGGAUUUUCUUUAGAUGCCGAUGAGAGGAUGCAGUAGAAAAUAGAGGAAAUGGAAGAGAGGAUGCAACAAAGAAUGCAUGAAAAGUUGAACGAACAAAAGGAUGCUAUGGAACAAAAUAUUACAAUGAACGUCAUUGCACGACUUCAGUGUCUGAACUCAGAUUUGCGACUUGAUCCUGACAUGUUAAGGUUCAGUGCACGUUCACCUGUAUAUGCUUCCUCUGCACAACAAGCUGCUGUUCAACUAAACAGUCGACCAUUUGCUAGUAGUAACAAUCAAGGUGGAGUAGAUCAAGAAAUGGAUGAUGAAGAUGAUGAAGAACUAGACCUUACUUGAAAUGAAUUUUGUAUUGUUAUAGAUGAAUGUUCUAGGAAUCUUUUGUUACCAACAUUUUUGAAACUUAUUUACUCUCUUGAGAUGUACUAAACUUAUGCACUCAUGGAGUAGAACAUUUGCUUUAUGGAUAUUAUUUGCUUGAUGGAUAAUUUUGUAUUA